rnacentral:rRNA from 1 species
AGAGUUAAAUAGUACGUGAAAUUGUUGAAAGGGAAACGAUUGAAGUCAGUCAUGCCGGCGGGAAUCAACUUAGGGGAAACCUUGAGUGCACUUCUUCGCUUGGCAGGUCAGCGUCGAUUUUGGACGUCAUAAAAUGAUUGGGGGAAGGUAGCUCCUUCGGGAGUGUUAUAGCCCUUGGUAUAUGUGAUGUCUGGGAUCGAGGAUUGCAACGAACCCUUUGGGCUAUCCGUCUGACCUCUGAAAGUCGCUCGGGUGUUGAAAGCGUGCUUAUGGCAUUUGAGUUAAUGGUCAAUAUGUUAGAACGUGAUUACAUUCGUUAAGGAUGUUGAUGUAAUGGCUUUAAACGACC